UACAGAGGGUGCGAGCGUUAAUCGGAAUUACUGGGCGUAAAGCGCACGUAGUCGGCUUUGCAAGUCGGUUGUGAAAUCCCCGGGCUCAACCUGGGAACUGCAUCCGAAACUGCCUUGCUAGAGUAUGGGAGAGGGAAGUGGAAUUUCCGGUGUAGCGGUGAAAUGCGUAGAUAUCGGAAGGAACAUCAGUGGCGAAGGCGACUUCCUGGACCAAUACUGACGCUCAGGUGCGAAAGCGUGGGGAGCAAACAGG
rnacentral:rRNA from 1 species